ACCCUCGUAGUUCAAUGGAAGAACAAGAGACUCCUAAGCUCUAGAUAAAGGUUCGAUUCCUUUCGAGGGUA
rnacentral:tRNA from 1 species